UUCGCCCUUUUCCGGUUGAUCCUGCCGGACCUGACUGCUAUCGGAUUGAUACUAAGCCAUGCGAGUCAUUGUAGCAAUACAAGGCAUACGGCUCAGUAACGCGUAGUCAACCUAACCUAUGGACGGGAAUAACCUCGGGAAACUGAGAAUAAUGCCCGAUAGAACACUAUACCUGGAAUGGUUUGUGUUCCAAAUGAUUUAUCGCCGUAGGAUGGGACUGCGGCCUAUCAGUUUGUUGGUGAGGUAAUGGCCCACCAAGACUAUUACAGGUACGGGCUCUGAGAGGAGUAGCCCGGAGAUGGGUACUGAGACACGGACCCAGGCCCUAUGGGGCGCAGCAGGCGAGAAAACUUUGCAAUGUGCGAAAGCACGACAAGGUUAAUCCGAGUGAUUUGUGCUAAACGAAUCUUUUGUUAGUCCUAGAACCACUAACGAAUAAGGGGUGGGCAAGUUCUGGUGUCAGCCGCCGCGGUAAAACCAGCACCUCAAGUGGUCAGGAUGAUUAUUGGGCCUAAAGCAUCCGUAGCCGGCUCUGUAAGUUUUCGGUUAAAUCUGUACGCUUAACGUACAGGCUGCCGGGAAUACUGCAGAGCUAGGGAGUGGGAGAGGUAGACGGUACUCGGUAGGAAGGGGUAAAAUCCUUUGAUCUAUUGAUGACCACCUGUGGCGAAGGCGGUCUACCAGAACACGUCCGACGGUGAGGGAUGAAAGCUGGGGGAGCAAACCGGAUUAGAUACCCGGGUAGUCCCAGCUGUAAACUAUGCAAACUCAGUGAUG
rnacentral:rRNA from 1 species